GAAAACAUCCAUCAGUAAACAUUUGAACAUAUCAGAGAUGGAAAGUAUAUCUACACACGCUUACUGAAACUCUCACAUGUGCUGAGACUAAAUUUGAGAUGUGCACAAAAACCACAUGUGAUUCUGUGAGAAUGAUAAUGUGUGGAUUCAUGUGGUUGACAUCAAGACGGUGAAAUAUUCUGUUUGCUUGUAUUAUAUUAUUUUUGACAUUUCAUCUGAGGUGGUGUAUGAGAUGUCUCACCUUCUCACAGAAUAAACACUCACACAGAGACGUCUGAAUGUUCAGAAGCUGAUGAUUAUUGCAGUGAGAGAGGAGCGGGUGUUUGUUUCGUACCUGCUCCAGGAGGAGACCGGUGUCCUGCUCCAGGUGGAGGGUCGGUUCUCGUAUCGCUCCAGAUCACAGAUGGUUGCUCGGUUCUGCUGAUGUCUGUGUCUGUACGGGGCACCGAUUCGGAAGUCUCUGGAUGAGCGACUACUGGUGAAUGACUACUGGAUGUCCAUUUAUCAUGAUGGUGAUGCUGGGAGUGGGCGGAGCGUGUGGAGUGGUGCCCCGCCCUCUUAUUUUUCACUAGAAAGGACCGUGGCAUGUCAUCAACACACUGUGACUUGGAACCAAAGCCACUUACAACAAAGUGCAGUGUGUCGUGUUUCCAGUUCCUAGAAAGAGACGUUCAAUGCGGCAAAGCCGAAAAACAAAGAGAUGAAGGUGAAACGAAAAGCCCACCAGGCC